rnacentral:rRNA from 1 species
GACGAACGCUGGCGGCGUGCCUAACACAUGCAAGUCGAGCGAAGCAUUCUGAGGGCUUGCCCGAAGGAUGACUUAGCGGCGGACGGGUGAGUAACGCGUGAACAAUCUGGCCUUUACAGGGGGAUAACAACCGGAAACAGUUGCUAAUACCGCAUAUGACCACAGUAUCGCAUGAUACAGGGGUGAAAGAUUUAUCGGUAAAGGGGGAGUUCGCGUCCCAUUAGUUAGUUGGUGAGGUAACGGCUCACCAAGGCGACGAUGGGUAGCCGACCUGAGAGGGUGAACGGCCACAUUGGAACUGAGACACGGUCCAA